CAAGAGGAACAGCCAUUUUAGAUCUGGUCCUAACCAAUGUUGAUGACCUGGUUAGUGGGGUAGAAGUGGAAGGAUCAUUAGGCGCGAGUGAUCAUGCUCUUCUGAAGUUUACUAUACAGCGGAAAGGAGCAGCCAAGCAUACUAGGACUCAAUUUCUUGACUUUAAGAAACCUGACUUCAUAAAACUUAGGGAAGUGCUGGGUGAGAUCCCAUGGACAGUAAUACUAAAAGGAAAGGGAGUUCAUGAUGGCUGGGAGUUUGUUAAGAGGGAGAUAGUAAAAGCACAACGUCAGGCAAUACCAAUGAGACGGAAACAUGGAAGGUGCCUAAAGAAGCCAGGGUGGCUAUCUAAAGAACUUUUAACUGAGUUAAGAUUAAAAAGGAUGUGUACAAAAAUGGAAAAGGGAGGAAACCACCAAAGAGGAAUUCAAACAAAUAGCCAGCACGUGUAGACACAAAGUCAGAAAAGCUAAAGCAGAGAAUGAACUCAGGCUUGCUAGAGAGGUUAAAAGCAACAAAAACGGCUUUUAUGGGUAUGUUCGUAGCAAAAGGAAGAACAAAGAAACAGUGGGGUCACUCAGAGGAGAAGAUGGUGAAAUGCAAACAGGGGACACAGAAAGGGCUGAACUCCUCAAUGCCUUCUUUGCCUCAGUCUUCUCCGAUAAAGAAAACAAUGCCCGACCUGAAGAAUUUGGAGCAAAUGAUUCAGCAGAGGAAACACAGUCCAGAAUAACUAAGGAGAUAGUACAAGAAUACUUGGCUAGUUUAGAUGUAUUCAAGUCUCCAGGGCCAGAUGAACUGCAUCCAAGAGUAUUAAAAGAACUGGCAGAUGUGAUCUCAGAACCACUGGCUGUCAUCUUUGAAAAUUCCUGGAGAACAGGCGAAGUCCCGGCAGACUGGAGGAGGGCAAAUGUUGUCCCUAUUUUCAAAAAGGGGAAAAGAGAGGACCCAAAUAAUUACCGCCCAGUCAGUCUGACAUCAAUACCAGGGAAGAUUCUGGAGCAGAUCAGUAAGCAAACAGUCUGUGAGCACCUAGAAAGGAAUGCUGUGAUCACCAAUAGUCAGCAUGGAUUUCUGAAAAAUAAGUCAUGUCAGACUAACCUGAUCUUUUUUUUGACAGAAUUACAAGCCUGGUAGAUGAAGGGAACGCAGUGGAUGUAGCCUACCUUGAUUUCAGCAAGGCAUUUGACAAGGUGCCCCAUGAUAUUCUUGUAAAGAAGCUGGUAAAAUGUGGUCUUGACUAUGCUACCACUCAGUGGAUUUGUAACUGGCUGACUGACCAAACCCAAAGGGUGCUCAUCAAUGGUUCCUCUUCAUCCUGGAGAAGAGUGACUAGUGGGGUGCCACAGGGUUCUGUCUUGGGCCUGGUCUUAUUCAACAUCUUUAUCAACGACUUGGAUGAUGGACUCAAGGGCAUCCUGAUCAAAUUUGCAGAUGACACCAAACUGGGAGGGUGGCUAACACCCCAGAGGACAGGAUCACACUUCAAAACGACCUUGACAGAUUAGAGAACUGGGCCAAAACAAACAAGAUGAAUUUUAACAGGGAGAAAUGUAAAGUAUUGCACUUGGGCAAAAAAAAUGAGAGGCACAAAUACAAGAUGGGUGACACCUGGCUUGAGAGCAGUACAUGUGAAAAGGAUCUAGGAGUCUUGGUUGACCACAAACUUGACAUGAGCCAACAGUGUGACGCGGCAGCUGAAAAAGCCAAUGCAAUUCUGGGCUGCAUCAAUAGGAGUAUAGCAUCUAGAUCAAGGGAAGUAAUAGUGCCACUGUAUUCUGCUCUGGUCAGACCUCACCUGGAGUACUGUGUCCAGUUCUGGGCACCACAGUUCAAGAAGGACACUGACAAACUGGAACGUGUCCAGAGGAGGGCAACCAAAAUGGUCAAAGGCCUGGAAACGAUGCCUUAUGAGGAACGGCUAAGGGAGCUGGGCAUGUUUAGCCUGGAGAAGAGGAGGUUAAGGGGUGAUAUGAUAGCCAUGUUCAAAUAUAUAAAAGGAUGUCACAUAGAGGAGGGAGAAAGGUUGUUUUCUGCUGCUCCAGAGAAGCGGACACGGAGCAAUGGAUGCAAACUACAAGAAAGAAGAUUCCACCUAAACAUUAGGAAGAACUUCCUGACAGUAAGAGCUGUUCGACAGUGGAAUUUGCUGCCAAGGAGUGUGGUGGAGUCUCCUUCUUUGGAGGUCUUUAAGCAGAGGCUGACAACCAUAUGUCAGGAGUGCUCUGAUGGUGUUUCCUGCUUGGCAGGGGGUUGGUCUCGAUGGCCCUUGUGGUCUCUUCCAACUCUAUGAUUCUAUGAUUCUAUGAAUGAGAGUCUAAAGGCAUGUGUUGUGGGUCUGAAGCUGGUCGGUGCUUGAACAGGAUUGUUUUUUUUUCUGAGAGUUUCUUGAGAGCGAACUGUUUCGAACCUCUUGCAGGAAGAGAAGGAAGAAGGUAAGAUUAUAUAAAUAAAGUGAAUAAUGUGUAGUCUUCAACCACCUUAAAGAGGCAUCUUAAAAGUGCAGAAGAGUGAUACAAUAAAAGCAAUAUAUUUGUUUUAGGGUGAAAAUGGAGAGUAAAGAGGGAAAACAAAAUUACAAAACCUGCACCAAUUUCUAUUAUUUGCCUUUCUCUUUGAUUUUAAAUGCAUGUUAGCUAACAUUCUGCCUUCUACCGUAGAACAAGCACACACACAGGCAAAUAGUCACAAGACUACACGAUUUCCUAAAUCACCUUCUCCAGCCUAAUACUGGCUGGAGCUGAUGGGAAAACAUUUGGAGGACAGCACUUUGGGAAAGGUUGUCCUAAACAUACACUCAUGUAGGGGGAGGUGACCUCUCUGUUAUUCUCUUUUUCAUUUGGACUGCCCAACCAGAAAUCAAAUACUUCUUAUGAUCAUGACAAUCUUCCUUUCAGUGAAUGUUACUUUUUCUCAAAAUGUCAUUAAAAGGGGGAUAAAAUCAGCAGUCAUGUCAUGCAUCGGGAUGGAUUCCUAAAUGUAAAUGAGAAUCUUGCAGUAAUUUAUUUACAUUUGUUUUCAGCACAACAAAUGAGACAUCACGUAGCUCCAUAAUUUCCCAUGACCGAGUCACCGGCAUGCAAUGUGUAAUUUACUAUGAUUUAAGAUGCUUAUCGGCAGGUUCUUGAAGCAGUACCUGGUGACUUUUUUUAUAAUACUUUCUCGUGACGGCCUUCACUCACUUCAUCCUACAUAUAUCCCCAUCUGGUUUAUUUCUAAGCUGAAACAAAAUUAUAAUCUUUUGUUUUUACUUGCCUUUCUGAGUUGGAACUAAGACAACCUAAUAAGACAGGCUUUUCAUGAAAGUUCUGGAAUUUGCACAGAUGUUAAGGCCUUUCAUGUCACCUCCUUUAUCUGAAGUUCUGUUGGUAAAGAACGAAAGAGCCUUUUCCACCCAUCUUUCCCAUUCUUUCCCUCUUCUGUGUUUGCUGUUUUCAUUGCUUAUAUUUUGAAAUAUUAUAGUCUUUCAUGAUACUAUAGGCCACUUUUACUGGAUACUUAGGUUAGAAAAAUGAGUGUACGAAUUAAACUAAACAAACAUUUACCUGUCUUAACCACAGUGUUGUUUUUGAAGGCUGAACUGGUGGUGUAGUGUGAGGGCAUAUGCACCUAAGCAGGAGUUGAUGAACCUUUUCAUUCAUGAAUUAAGUUACCACUAGUGCUGAAGUGUUCAUGCCACUACCUCCUGUGGUGCCACAAAAUGUCUCAGUAAAUAUCCCUUCAGACAUACGCAAUGCACAAGAGAUUGAUUGCACUUCCUGCUUUAGCCUUUGCAUCCACAGCCCUACACUGAUACCACCCUUAAAUAUGCCUACAUUUUAUUGGAUGCCAGGAGUGGACACCCUCCCUUCCAUUCUGAACAGAGGAGAGAUGCAAAGGCCUAUCUGUGAGCAAGUACAGCAGUGGCUGAUGUAGGCGUCUUUUUUCCUUUGAUGUGGGACAGGUUGUGGGAAAUGCACAUGCCCACACCAUUUGUGUUCCUGUUACUUGGUCUGCUCUUUUAUAUGAGCCGUUUUUUAUUAUGCCAUGUGCCCCAUGACAGCCAUUCCAAGAAUAGGCCAUCCUCUUAGGCAGUGCUUUUUUUUUCUUAAAAAAGAAAAGAAAAGAAAGGUGCCUGUACUCACCAUGAAGUUGUUACAGUAAGUGCCACACUUUUUAACAACAACAAAAAGAGGUGCCGGUAGUGCGUACCCUUGAAUACCCCCUGAAAAAAGCACUGCUCUUAGGACUUAAUUAUUGCAUAAGAAGCUAUUUAUGACAGUGCAGUCCUAUGGCAUUUCCACUCCUUGUUCAGGAUGUAUUUUUCAGACCCCUGAAACACUUCCUGAAUAAUUCCAAAGUUGGUGAGUGGCCUCUCCUGGACUUAAAUUGAUGCAGGGCAUGCUACCCAGGUCAAAAUUGCUAAUGCCAACACCAUUGUAUUCUGUUUUCCCCUUCUGAUAGCGAGUUUCCCUUCCCAAUCUAGACUUUUAAGGUUUUCUUCCCUAUAGUUUGACAGAUAUGUGCUCAUUCCACACCACGAGGAUGUGACUUGAUUCAGCAUUGGCAGACUCAUUUUAAGUGCGGUAAUCAUGGCUCCUGGACAGAAAAGUUGUUUUAGCUACAGCUGCACAACUACCACUCUCCCAGCACAAGAAUAUUUGUAAGAUCAUGCUGGAAUUACAUAUUAUAAAUUGUACAUAAAUGCUCACUUUUUGAUUUGACGGAAUACUGUGUACACCUGUAACUUGAAAUAAAAUCAUCACCAAAAUUUUAUAUUAUCUUUGCAUUUUUGUUGAAUGUAAAGCAUAAACUGUAGAUAAUGCUCAAAUCAUUUUAGUUCAGAUUCUGAGCAAUUGGUUUGGGGCUCCAAGCCUUUGCUCAGCAUUAUGCAGACAUCAAUCCUUUUUAUGCUAAGGGCCAGUAUAUCUUCAGAUUAUUUACAGAGCUGCAGAUAAAUUGCAGAAUCUCCAAGACAAAAGAUUGCUGUAAGCAAAUUAUUUGUCCAGUGUUCUUUUAGAAUAUACUCAUAUUGUAUUCUACAUGUUUUGAAUAAGAUUUUAAAACAGCUGUAUAAAUUUUUGUCUGGCUUUGAGAGGAAAGUUUCUUUUUUUGGCAAAUAGUGGGCUUCCUUCCUAGGGGAAAAAUACCUUACAGUGUCAAGAUCCCUAGCAUUUGGGGAUGUUUUCUACUAAUUGAACCUAAUACUUGCACUUUGAAAUCUGAUUCAGGAAAUGUUAACAGGCAACUGUCAAGGAUAGACUAUUCUGGGACAGGCUGUGCUUGCUUAUUACUUAAUUUUGUACUCCACUAAGCAUCUAUUCAUUUGCACAGUCUUAUUCUCAACAGGAACACACUGAUUUUUCCCCUGUUUCAAUUUUCUUUUCAAAAAUAGCUUUCUAGUGGAUGCGUGAGUCCCAUAUAUUUUCCCAAAAAUCAUUAUUCAUAUUUUUAAGUUGUUAGCAACAUUUGCUUCUACUAUCUGCUACUUUAGCAACUGUCUUUCUUCUUCAGAGCUUAUUUCUCUUUCCUGAGUGUGAUUCAUGUACUGUAUUCAUGAUGUGAACAUGAUGAUGUCAUGAUUAUUGGUGAACUACUGACAUUACAAAGGGAAAAUGAAACCCAUUCAGAUUGCGGUCAGGUCUUCAUAAGUGACUCCAUAGACUAGUGUGGGCAACCUUUGGCCCUUCAGAUGUUGCUGAACUGUAACUCUCAUCUGUCCCAACCAGCAUGGCCAGUGGCCACGGGUAAUGGAAAUUUUAGCUCAGCAACUUUUGGAGGGCCAAAGGUUCCCCAUACCAGAUCUAUGGGAUAUAGAAAUCUAGAACAUAAGUAAUUGGCAGAUAGUGAACAUGGUGAUGUCGCUGAGUUCAAAUUUAAGGCUAUUGAAUGAAAUGUUUACGUGUAUUUUUUGUUUGUUUGGUCACUCUACAAAGAAUGAGAACAAUUAAGUUGUAGUGGUAGCCACCAACUUGGAUGGUUUUAACAUAGGAUCAGACAAAUUAAUGGAGGAUAAGACUAUCUUCUACCACCUCUGAUAGAAGCAGUAUGCCUCUAAAUACCAGCUGCUGGGAAUCAGAAGUGGGAAGCAUGCUGUUACACUCAUGUCUACCUUUCAGGCUUCCCGUUGCAUCUGGUUGGCUACUGUAGGAACAGCAUAAUGGACUAGAUGGACUUUUGGUCUGAUCAAGCAGGGCUCUUAAAUUGUUGGUGGUACUAUUGAGGUUCAGAUGUAUAUGAAAUAGGCUCAAUUUAAGUAACCUGCUUUAGGACUGUGGUCAAAAUGAUUGAUUUGGUGAUAUUAUAUUGAGUAAUGUAGAAUGUUUUGUAUAGUAUGUGUUUAAUAUUUACAUAACAUUUGUAUAUUUAUAGCUUGAUCAAUUUAGUCUUUAGAUCUUUGUAUUUUGAAAUUGUAAUCAAAUUGUUUAAUAAUUAGAAUGGUAAAAUAAAAAUGCUGAUAGAGGGACACUGUGCCUUUUGACACUGAAAAUAUUAAACUCACCUUAUCCAUUUGGCUCAGUCUUAAUUUAGAAUUCUAAGGUGAGUGCUGAUUGGGCAAUUUUAAAAAAAUAAGCAUAACAUCUGUAUCUGUUCUCUUUUGCUUUUUUUUUAAUUCAAAAGUAAACUCCAUCCAAUUUGAUGAAAUUUGCUUCUAAGUAACUAUGCAAGACUGGAGUAGAUCAGGGCUAGUGGUCCUAUGCUUUUUCAAUGAUGCCAGAGGGAUGAAACCCACUUUUUGGAAAAUCUUGAACCCUGUCUUUUUAUACAGGCAGAAUCAGAAGCGCCAUGUGAAAUGUGUGGCUUAACCAGUACUCUUUGGCUUAUUUUCCAUUGAACACAUCUGUGCUUGACUAUAGGAGCUAGUGCCCUACUUGGCAUCUUUCUUGAGCUUGAGUAUCUGAUGUUUUAAUCUUGAUUGUUUUGUGUUUUGGAAUCAAAGAAGGAAGCUGCACCAAACUUAAUGCUGACACUAUGGAUAUAGUAAUAGUUCUGCAAAUUCAUAUCUAUUGUAUUUUAUGCCAGUUUAACUGUCAUGGCUUUCCCAAAGAUUCCUGGGAAAUACAGUUUUGAGAGUCUGCUUCAAAUUAUUUGCUGGCAAUCCCUAGGAUCUUUCAUUGGACUACAGGGGUUCUCUGGGGACAGAUAAUGUGUAUUAACCCAGUUUUAAGUUUGCACUCAAACUCUCCGUUUUGAAAACAUUAAGUUCCAUUUUGCAUAUCACUCAACUGCUUGUCUCCUUAAUUCCAAUCAACAUCUCACUUAUUGCUAGAGUCAACACUCCAGUGGUAACAAAAAAUAAAACCUUUCAUCAUCUAUUGAUUUGCCGUCUUGAAAAAAAUGACAAUAGGCUAUUUUUGUCCAAUUUCUCAAUAACUAGAGCCAUUUAUUGGUUUUUCAGUUUUACUAUAUUGCACAAGAAUGUAUUUUACUGCAUUUUUGAAAACUGCAGUAUCAAGAUGCAAUGUUUUGUAGUUUUUGCAAGCAAAUUCAGAAAUUGUAUAGUCCAACUGAGAGCUAUAAAGAUACCUGCCAUAUUUGUAAUAGUAUCUUAAUUCAAAUUUAACUGCAGAGGGCAAUCGGGCAUUUGUUAACCUAGUAGACUACUGAAAAAUAUCUUUAGACAAACUUGGUUUUUUAAAGUUAUAUUGUUUCGUAAGUCAUGGAAACAUGAACAUUGUGUUUGUGAUUUUGUCACAGGAGUCCAGUGUGAGCUUGAGAAAUAACUACAGCUUCAGCUAGGUGAGAUUUGUACCUAAAGGUGCAUAUCCUUUUCUGUGAUUUACACUUUCUAACAUUCUAAACUACGGUACAUUUUAUGAGUUAUGAAUCUUGCUUGUUUAAAUAUUUUUUUUUUAAAAAAACCACACACAACAGGAUUCCUGGUUCACAUAUAACACAAAGCAAGAUUUUAGCCACACAGGAGUAGAGGUGACCAUGCAAAAGAGGGAGCUUUGGGCUUCCUAAGGCUCACCCUUUUAGUGUUAAACUAUGGCACCAAGACUUUUGUGUUUGUAAAACAAAGGAAUGGGGUAAAAAUUGGCGUUUCUUGAGUUUUAUGUGGUUUCAGUCCAAAAAACUGAACUGAACUGUGGCAUCAGGAUGAUCGUCCAAUAAGUUAAUUUAUCCCUUUCCGUGUAAAUACAAUGUAACUCUAAGUUGGAAAGGAAAAAUAUUCUUUAUACAGCAGGAUAUAGAUGAUAGUACUAGCAAAUGGAAAAUGUGACAUUCAGCUACAAGAAAAACAAGGAAGACCCAAUAGAAAGAAACUCAAAAUUGAAUGUAGCAUAAAGGGAAAAGAGAGUCAUAUAUGUAACUAAUACCAUGCUAUUUAUUGAAAUCUCACCAGUGACCUUUACAGCAGCAGUGCUUCAAUGUAUAGUUAUGCAGAAAAGGAAAGUGAUGGCUAUUAUAAAGGGAACAUAUGAUUGGAUUUAGAUUCAUGGGGAUGUAGGUUUUGAAGAGGUGCCCUUCAUUAUCUGUGGAGCAUGUAUAUCUAUAGUAAGACUUAUUUCAUUGUGGUCCUUGAAAAUAUGCUGCAUUCAUUCCUGCUUAUUUCAGGUCCGGUAGCAAAUUUCUAAAGUUUGCUUUGGGUGUUACCAAUACAUAUUAGGGGAGAUGUUUGUGACUGAUUAGUAAUUAUAGUUCAGCAUAUUUUGUUUGGAGUUUAUGUUCAAUGCUUUGAGUUGAAGUUUCCAGUACAGUCUCAGCACUGUUGUUGUUAAACUUUGUAUAUCUCCUUCCUCAAUAGACCACAAGGUGUUUCACAGCAUAAAAAUACAAGAUAAAAAAGGUUCCUAUCCAUAUUACUAAUUUAAUUUCAAAUCUAAUUAACAACUUCUCCUUGUGGGGUGUGUGGAGUAGAGAUGAACUACAUUGUUAAUCCUAGAGUUCAAAAUGUUGUCGCUGUAUUGUUUGUAUCCCUUGGUUAGAUAAAUAAACAAUCAUAAGCUUUUUCAAGCACAUGCUUUUAAUGUCAUUUUUUUUGGCAGGUGAAAAAUUUCUUAUGAAGUCUUGAAGAUACAUUUAAGGCAAUAUUUAAGUAAAUAUUCACAAAAUGAAUUCAGUUAUACAAGGGAUAUUCUACUUUAUUUAAUAAUAAUAAUAAUUUAAGUAGCUUGGGGGCUGGGGAGAACCCCAGUUCAAAACACUGGCUGCUUAAGGGUAGAGAACUAAAUCUCUCUGCAAUUUUAUUUCCAAUACAAAUGCACAGGCAUCAUAGUAGUUAAAUCAGUGAUAGAAGUAUGUCUUGCAAUAACAUUUAGUACCUUUUUAGCGAUCAUCUAACACCCGUGUCUUCAUCACGCUUCACAGGCUACCAAACAGAAGCAAUUUUUGUUUCCAAAUACAAGGUGAGCUUCUAGAGGGAUUUUUAAAUAAAAUAUUGUUGUGAAAAGGAAGAGAGUACUGCAUACAGGUGAAAGGUGGAGUUUUCCAGGGUGUAGAAUGGAGUGUUUGUCUCUUUUCUUCACAGGAGGUAAAACAUCAUGGGGUAUCUCACCUUUUCUACUCUCCUAUUGUUUUCACAUCCAUCCCAUUAUAGGAUCACGUGGAUCCAGCACCUUCAAUUCAUUUCAGUUCUGUCACUUAUGAAGCUAGAUGUGUCUCAGUACUAAGUCUUCUCUACAGUCCCUUUGGGCAUUCCUUAUAGUUAUUCUUGCUGCCAAUAUUCUAUUAGAAAAUUCACCAUGUACCCUUAAACCUACACCCCAGCUCAAUUCCUGAGUUAAAGGCUACUGGAGAAUGCUUCUGUUUUUCAUAUUUUAACAGGGUCUCAAAGAGGUGGUAGUUGUUUAAAUUUGCAAACUUUAAUAGGGAAUUUGCAUUCUGUUCUUCACACAACUUUGGCUACUACAAGUCCAAUUGGAUUUUGUUUUCCUUAAAUUUUUUUUGUUUGUUACAUUUCUAUCACACUCUUUUCCAAGUAUCUCAUCCUGAGCUAUAAAUCAUUAUUAUUUUAAUUUACAAAUAGGAUCUGAGGCGAGGAGCUAAGUCACUUUCCCACAAAAUGAGUCCAUGUCCUAGAGCUGUUCAACAGUGGAAUUUGCUGCCAAGGAGUGUGGUGGAGUCUCCUUUGGAGGUCUUUAAGCAGAGGCUUGACAACCAUAUGUCAGGAGUGCUCUGAUGGUGUUUCCUGCUUGGCAGGGGG